ensembl:lncRNA
GCUUUCUGCAUGCUGUACAACUGGAGGUCAGUCACAUUCACGUGUCUGGGUGAAAGCUGGAGACUGUAAUUACAGCUUACCUGCAUUGGAAAUAAGAGUCUGCCCAGACUAGAAUGGAUUUGUAUAUUUUAAAUUGAGAGAGGGUCUAACUUAAAAUAUUUUGGGGCAAAAUGUAUUUCAGGGAAUAAUGAAGAGUCCACCUACCACUGCAGCAGACAUCAAAACAAGAGCAGAGCACAGCUGACAAUGCAGGAUCCAGAGAGUAGAAACUGUAAGCAACCCAGGAGUAUCAGUUUGCUCAACCAUGCUUUUUAUUUUCCAGUCAUGCCUGAGUUUGGAAGGAAUAUGACCACAUCAAGGAAAGUACUCCAAACUGGAUUUGACUAAAACUCAAAAGAUGGACUAAUCUGAAUACCACAGAACUGAACAGUGGAUAAUGUUGCGGGUACAAAUGGCAGUCUCACCACUGAGAAGAAAACAAGCUGUAUAUCAUUAGGGGUUUAUCUGUUGUAUCCCCUGCCAUGAUUUUUGUGGGGCUGGUCCUACACAGAUUUUAAUUCUUGCUGUGGUUUUUGUUACAUAGUCAGUUCAUGUUAUGAUGAAGACAGAAAGAAGGGAAAGAUGCCUGUGAUAUCUCAAGGACAUUUUCAUCAAAGAUGCCCAGAGUCAGUCUAGUUCAAAGAGCUAAGAAGGACAGCCAGUGAUUCUGCUUACUGAACUGAUGAAUCCCAACAGUUUCUUAUCAGCCAUCUGACCUGCUUUCUUCUCUGGCAACACACUAAUUCAUAUAAAAUCUGUAUAUGGUGCAAAGUGUCGUGUUUCAUUAUCUGGGUAAGUCCCGGGAUGGGCAGAGUGCAGCAGCAUACAGUGCUGGGGAGGGGGGAUGUGGGGGCAGCCUUCACUGCUAAUGCAGAGCUGAGAACAAGCAGCUUUGACUUGGCUGAGUCUAUCUGCCAAACUAGUGACUUCUGCUGGGAAACAGAACUUUCCCCCUCUUUCUUUAGAUCCCAGCUGAGCUUCAAUGCUCUGUGUUUCUCUCUAACAGGAAAGCUGUCUUCUCUCCUCCUCUGCCAUCUGUGCUCCAUCCUUAUUCUCACAUGUGACUUACUGUAGCUGCAGUCUCAUUAACUUUCAAUACUUGCAGCCUAACACGACUUAACUGGGGGGCUUGAAAGGAGAGGUAGGGC